AGUGAACGCUGGCGGUAUGCCUAACACAUGCAAGUCGAGCGACAGCACAAUGAGAUCGUGCUCUUGCGGUUGGCGAGGGGCGGAUGGGUGACGAGUACAUCGGAUUCUUCUAUGACGGGGGGAAUAACGGGAGGAAAGUGAUGCUACUAGCGCAUACAUCGUACCGGUUGAAGCAAUAGUGCUUCACGCCUUUGCCGACUCAAUGAGAUGGUUCCGGGCCGCAUUGGCUAGUUGGUAAGGUAACGGCAUACCAAGGAUACGAUGCGUAGCUGAUCUGAGAGGGUGAUCAGCCACACUGGAACUGAGACACGGUCCAGACUCCUACGGGAGGCAGCAGUGGGGAAUCUUGCACAAUGGGCGAAAGCCUGAUCCAGCCAUACCGCGUGGGUGAAGAAGGCCUUCGGGUUGUAAAGCCCUUUUGUUGGGAAAGAAAAGCAGCAUGUUAAUCCCCCGAUGUUCUGACGGUACCCAAAGAAUAAGCACCGGCUAACUUCGUG
rnacentral:rRNA from 1 species